rnacentral:tmRNA from 1 species
GGGGCUGAUUCUGGAUUCGACGGGAUUUGCGAAACCCAAGGUGCAUGCCGAGGGGCGGUUGGCCUCGUAAAAAGCCGCAAAAAAUAGUCGCAAACGACGAAAACUACGCUUUAGCAGCUUAAUAACCUGCUUAGAGCUCUCUCUCCCUAGCCUCCGCUCUUAGGACGGGGAUCAAGAGAGGUCAAACCCAAAAGAGAUCGCGUGGAAGCCCUGCCUGGGGUUGAAGCGUUAAAACUUAAUCAGGCUAGUUUGUUAGUGGCGUGUCCGUCCGCAGCUGGCAAGCGAAUGUAAAGACUGACUAAGCAUGUAGUACCGAGGACGUAGGAAUUUCGGACGCGGGUUCAACUCCCGCCAGCUCCACCA